AUGAGGAACUGGGGGAGGGACCUGCGCACUAGGAUCGAAACUGUAUUGGGUGUGCAUGCCUAUCAGACACCUGAUCUUGCAAGACCGUCGUUAAAAGUCUCACUUUCUCUGUUCGGGUCUCUGAGUCCAUUCUUUGGAUUCGGACAGAAGACUCUUGCCAUCUCAGUGGAAGGGGAAUAUCGGGAGUUGGAGAAGGAGAAAGAGAAGGAGAGUUUGGCUAUGCAUGUUUACAAAUCCCCACCAAUGAAAUGAGCAUUCUGCCAAGGUGCUGUGUACAUACCACCUCUGACAGCUAUACCUGCAAGAUGUACCAAUUUCAUCUCAGCUUAUCUGCGUUGCCACAGCCACGGCAGUGUUCAGCAACCACCGCCCCAUCAGUCAGCAGCCAUCAACGCAGAGGCAAGACCCUCCACCAGCAACAAGAUUUAUGACUUCCUGAAGGCCCAGAUGAUUGUUAGCAUUUCCAUCAACAAUUUUAAAUUGAGGAAUGUACACUGUUCUUCUAGACAUAAUGCUAUUGCACACUUAAUAGACUACUGUAUACGAUAAAUAUAACUUUUAUAUGCACUUGUAAACCAAAAAGUUUGCAUGAUUUGUGUGAUGGUUAAUAUUGGGCGUCAACUUGAUUGGAUUGAAAGAUGCAAAGUACUGUUCCUGGGUGUGUCUGUGAGGGUGUUGCCAGAGGAGAUGAACGUUUGAGUCAGUGGACUGGGAGAGGCGGACCCACCUUUAAUCUGGGUGGGCACCAGCUAAUCAGCUGCCACUCGGCCAGAAUAAAGCAGACAGAAAAAGGUGGGAAGAGCAGACUGGCUGAGUCUUCCUGCCUUCAUCUUUCUCCCGUGCUGGAUGCUUCCUGCCUUCGAACUUGAGACUCCAAGUUCUUCAGCUUCUGGACUCUCCGUGUUUGCCAGGGUCUCUCAGGCCUUUGGCCACAGACUGAAGGCUGCGCUGUGGCUUCCCCACUUUUGAGGUUUUGGGACUCAGACUGGCUUCCUUGCUCCUCAGCUUGCAGAUGGCCUAUUGUGGGACUUCACCUUGGGAUCAUGUGAGUCAAUUUUCCCUAAUAAACUCCCCUUCAUAUAUGCAUCUAUCCUAUGAAUCCUGUCCCUCUAGAGAACCCUGAACCCUGAUGAAUAUGACUUGUGUAUUGAAAUAUUUGCUCCACUGCAGUGGUCUGCAGUUGAACCCCCAGUAUCUCCAAGGUGAUUCGGUAAUUAUUUAGUCAUUCCUUUACUAGAAACCAAAUCUAGUGGUCUGAAAUUUGAAAUCUUUUUGCACCCAAAGAUGUGCAUCUCCAUCCUCUUUGUGCUUUCUAAUCACCUGGUGAGUUUUGAAAAAAUGCAGGUGCCUGGGCCUCAGCCCAUACCCUGAAGUAGAGCCAAAAGCACAACUGGGGGUGGAGGUUGUUUGUCUGUUUGUUUUAAGCUCCCUGGGUGAUUGGAAUGCAGAGUCAGACUGGAGAACCUCCAGGGAUAUCUCUGCAUGACUGAAUCACACUCUUCAGGACUAAAUCAAACGUUACUCCCCCUGAGAGACUUCCUUAUUUGAGUAACCCCUGACCCAUACUGCACCCCAGAUACUCCUCCUAUUUUUCUGUUUGACUUUCUUCAAGGUUGACGAUCAUCUUUCUCUCUGUACUCCUUUUCUCUCAUAGAACUUUAUUUCAUUAUUUUCUCUUUGGUCUUUAAUUCUGAGGACCCCACUUAUUUGUAUGGGGGAGGGUUUGGGGAGCGUGUGAUGGACUGGUGGGUGAUUGGUUGCUAGUCAUUACCACUCUAGCUAGAGAGACUAUUAAGAUAGUUCUGGUUGCUUCAGUGGCUUCCCCCAUUGACCACAACCGUAGUCGGGGAUGCCACUUCCAUGCCUGUGGUGUCUCCAUGAUUCACCUAGGACAGGCUCUUCAGCCCCGUGGGUCACCACACAUCUAUCUGGGGGAUGCUAUACGAAUUUUCUAGACUUUGUUGGCUCACAACUCACCUUCUCUUCCCUUUCCCUCUCCAGUUGUAGCUACCUGGUUAGAAGCCACACUGAGAUAUGUUCACCAGAAUCCUCCCCAGCUACCACUUUCCAAAGUGUAAGCCAGGAAGUCGUGCCCCUCUUAUUUUCUGGGUAGUUUGAGGUGGGCUUUCCUCUGAAAUUAUUCCUGUCCCCUUUGGUUCAUCACUAAGCCUGCUUGACUCCACUACCUUUAUCAUGACUGGGCAAAGACAGUUUAAUAACACGGUAAAAAGCUACUGUCAUGGUGUUCGGUAAAAAUCCCAGGUGCCAGUAUGUGCAGGUCAUAUAUUGACCAUAUUUAAAAUAAAAAAAUGAGGAGGAAUACAAGAAUAUUAUAGCAGGAAUAAACUUUUUAUGGAGAGAUUACAAAAGGGGUUGAUUUAAAACGUCAGUGCUUCUCAAGUUUUUCAAACAUGCUUAUUUUGCUUUUAUGGGGAUUAAAAACACGUUGUGAGGAUUAAAAGAAAUCUUCACAAAAUGAAAAGCAUAAAGUAGUCCUCUCUGGAGACCAAACCCUUUCUCGUAUAGUUCUGUCAUUGGUCAAACAGUCAACUUCCCGGUUUCAGAAUUGUCUAAAUUCUGUGGUCUCUUUUCUAAUUGAAGCUCAUCUUCAUCUAAAGACCAAGCCAAAGUUUGGUGAAUGAGUGAAUGAUUGGGCUGGGAAAUACCAUGUGACCCCACGGAGGGUUAAAAAGUAUGGCUUUGCAAAUGGCUUUGGGGUCCACACCCGGGGACAAGCCCAGAGACGCUUUGCACACUCUGUCAGUCCAUUUCAUGCUUCUAUACAGAAUACCACCUGGGGUAAUUUAUAAGGAAGAGAAAAUUAUUUCCUCAUAGCUCUGGAGGUUGGGACAGCCAAGGCCAAGGCAUCAGCAUCUGGUGAGGGCCUUCUUGCUGUGUCUUAAGAUGGCGGAGGGCAGCAUGUGGGAAAGGUGGAGGAUUGAGAGAGAGAGAGAGGAGCUGAUUUCAUUCUCACUCCCAUGAUAACAAACCCAUUUCCAAAAUAACGGCAUUAAUCCUCAUCAGCUGUUAAAGAGCUCAUCUCCCAAUAUGGGCUCUUUAACUGGUGAUUAGGAUUAUCUAAUUGGGGAUUAUGUCUCCAGCACAUAAACUUUGGGGACUACAUUCAAACCAUAGCAGACACUGACAACAGCUGAAAUGCCUCAAGUGCAUACCCUGUGCUAACGCACUGUCCCCAGUGCUUUAGAUGCUUACGUGUACUUAAUAUAUAGGGCAACCCUAUACAUUUGGAGAUACUCCAAUUCCAAUUUGUAGAUGAGAAAACUGAGGUUAAGUGACUUGCCUAAGAUCAGAGGACGAGUGACAGAGUAUGAGAUAUACCCCGAUGGGCACUUCUUUCUCUCACUUACACCAUCAAGGAGCCUAAACUUUAGCCGCAGAAAUAAAACCAUUGAAACAACUAUAAUGCAAGACAGAAUCUGACAGAUGGUUCGAGAGAAGAAUAAAUCCAGGGCUGAGAGAAGGAUUCUGUCCAGGGGAAGGGGGGUCGGUGAGGGAGGACAUAAAAUGGUCAUGGCGGAUGCGCUGUCUUAAAUAUACUGUCUUGACCCUGGGUAGUUUGAGGUGGGCUUUCCUCUGAAAUUUGAGGUGAGCACUUCUGACUCACACUUUCAACCACUGUUCUCUUGCAGCAAGAUGGCAGCAUCACUGGGAAGAUUCAAGGUGAUGUCCCUGGGAGACAACUUAGAGAGGGCAACAGAAAUUCACAUGGGUGUGAGCAGACCUGAUAGUAAUUUUCCAUGAGAUUUGUUAACCACAGAGUGAGGUGUACGAGUGUGGGGAAGGACUGGAGUGGCGGUGUCCUAUCCGUAUUGGGUACUGACCGAUCCUCAAGCACAUGAACCACUGACCAGUGCUAGCACCCAACAAGGUCAACCCUUACAGCUGAGAGUGCUUCAGGAUUAAGCCAGCGCCAUCCUAAAGACUAUCCUCUGCCAUUCUGCUGUGAUGGGGGAAGGGGGUUGGGCAGGGCAGGAUGGAGGCUGUGCUGUCAUUUGUCCCCUUAGGACUCAUUGUCUCACAAGUGUAUACCUGCACACACACCUCUUUCCCUGAGCACUAGCAGCCUGGUGGGCACUUAGUACUUGGCAUGUUUCGGAAACCAGGAUCGGGCUUCUCCACUUCUCCUGAGGACCGCUGUGGGAACACGUAAUGAGGAACAGUUCUUACGUUUCUCACAUUCCUCCCUUCCUCUCUCUGUCUCCAUCCUCUUCUCACUUUCUGUUACCUGGCGGACAUCCCUUCCUUUCAUUCCCCUUUCUUCAUUCAUCUCCCCUUCAAACUGUGGUUCUUAGUCUUUUGAGAGGUCACAGAUGUCUUUGAGACUCUGGCGAAAGCUGUGGAUCUCCUCCCCCUUAAAGUGGACAGAUCUCACACAAACAUUCCUGGGUGUGUAUGUGUGCUUUCCCACAGACCCAAUAUGAGUCUCUCUAUGCCUGAAGAGAUCCCUGGUUGAUGUGGUUUGGCUGUGUCCCCACCCCAAUCUCAUCUUGAAUUAUAGCUCCCUUAAUUCCCACAUGUCGUGGGAGGGACCCAGUGGGAGGUAACUGAAUCAUGUGGGUGGGCUGUUCCUGUGCAGUUCUUGUGGUAGUGAGUAAGUCUCAUGAGAUCUGAUGGUUUUAUAAACGGGAGUUCCCCUACAUGAGCUCUCUCUUGCCUGCUGCUAUGUAAGAUGUGUCUUUGCUCUUUCUUCACCUUCUGCCAUGAUUGUGAUGCCUCCCCAGCCACAUGGAACUGUGAGUCCAUUAAAUCUCUUUUUUUUGUAAUAUAAAUUACCCAGUCUUGGGUAUGUCUUUAUUAGCAAGGAGACAAUGAACUAAUACACUGGUCUAUAGGCGGAAUUCUUUCCUCAUCCCUUUCACACCCACUGCAGACAAGAGCAAGGGCUUCACUCAGGUCCUCUCUGUAGACCAGGGAGCUGGUCUACACGUUAGGUCCCACUUCUCCUUUCCUCUCAGGCCCUUCUCAUGGUCAAGCGAUGGAAGGCAUGGACCUUGAGGACAGGUGAUCUGGGUAAAAAUUUAGGUUCUGUCCUUUUGUUAUGUGCCCUUGGAGGGCAAGUAUCUUCAUUGAAAAACUGAGACUAACUGUAUAUUCCUUAUAGGAAUUUAUGAUGAUGACUUGUGUUAAUAAAUGCCAAAGCCCUAGAACAAUGCCUGGCAGGGAUUAAAUGAUAUCAGUCCUGCCAUUUUUAUUAUUUGGGUGAUCAGUAUUGAAGGAACAGGAGGGGGCUUUGCUUUGAGGGCCGUUUGUAACUUCCUCCUCUUUAUUCUUAUUUCAAGAGGCAGUAGAACUAAUAAGUACAAUUCCAAAUAAUGCAAACAUUCAGGAAACACAUAAGUCCUUGGAGGAUAAUUAAGACAUCACUUGUUACCAUUAAGGAGCUUAGAAUGUGGUGCAGAAAUAAAACAAUCAAAGCAACUAUAAUGCAAGGCAGAAUCUGGUAAAUGGUUCAAGAGAAGAAUAAAUCCAGGGCUGAGCAAAGGAUUCUGUCCAGGGGCUGGGGAGGAGGUGGCGAGGGAGGACUUGAAGCUGGGCCAUAGAGAAGGUGCUGUCUUAAGUCAGUAACACAGAAUAAUAUGGAGAGCAGGGGCUUUUGCCAGAGGGAGUCAUGUUCAGAGGUACUCAGGUGGCCAGUACUGGAGGUGUCUGGGAAAUAGUGAAGCUUGGGGAAGGCUCUGCCCUGGGGGACAUUUGGAGAAAUUGCUGGAAAGCCAGGGUGAGCCAAACUGGGGAGAAAUCUUUAAAAGACAUGUGUCUUGGAGGUAACUUCACUGCAAGAGCAGAAACUCAAGCCAGCUGACUAAAUGGGAAUGCAUUUCAAGAUGUUGUGAUUUCUCACAAAGCUCAUGGAGACGAAGUAAAGCCAUGUCACUCAAAAGAUUUAAACUGGAAAUCAGAAAGAAGUGCCCAUUGGCAUAUGUCUCACACUCUGCCCUCACCCGUCGCCUCAUCUCUCUGCCUUUCUGUGUCUCUGUCCUUCUCAGUCUCCCUCCUGGGUGUCUCUUUCAUUCUCUCUACAGCAGUCAGGGGCUCAAAUGGCAGCCCUAAACCCAAGUCCACAUGAUCCUUGGGGUUCAUGAACCCACAGAUCAGCUCCAACUCAGCAGGACUGCUGUGUUUGGUUGGGCAGGUUGGAUCCUGCACAAGGCUACCCUGCCAAGGGGGUGGAUGCCAGCUGAAAUCCAGUGUAAUUCUCUCACUAAUAUUUCAUUGGCUAAAGCAUACCACGCAAAUUUCCAAGGAGAUAGGACAUGCAUUCCUACCAUAUUCCAGAAGGUGGAAAAACCAGAGUAUGUGGGAACAGAUCUGAAGUUUACUACAUGGAAAGACAAAGCCUGUUAACUGUACAAAGUGUUAUUUUCAGAGAAUAAUUUCUAACAUCAACACAUUCUAUUUAACUUCUGCAUAACGUUCCAUCUCAUUCCUUUUAACUACUCUACUGCACGUCUCAUUGCCAUUAAGAUAUGCUGCAUAAUAUUUCAUUGUAUGACUGUGUUAUGGUUGAUUUCUGCUCCCAGCCUAAGGGACAUUUAGGUUUUCUCAGUCGUUCUUUCUAGUACAAAUAAUGAGGCAAUACAGCAACACAUUUCCGUGUGUGUGUGUGUGUGUGUGUGUGUGUGUGUGUUAGGGGAAUACAUACACAUGCAUAUAUACACAGUCUUAUGCCUCAUAAAGACAUUUUGGUCAAUGACAGCCCACAUAUACGACUGUGGUCCCCUAAGACUAUAAUGAAGCUGAAAAAUUCCUAUUGCCUAGAGCUGUCAUAGCUGUGGGAAAUCACAGUGCAAUGCGUUACCUUUUCUAUGCUUAAAUAGGUUUAGAUACACAAAUACUUACCAUUGUGUUAGGACUGUCUAUAGCAUUGAGGAUAGUCACAUGCUGUACAGUUUUGUAGCCUAAGAGCAAUAGGCUAUACCAUGUAACCUGGGUAUGUAGUAGGCUACAUCAUCUAGUUUUGUGUAAGUACAUUCUGUGAUGUUCAAACAAUGGCGACAUUGCCUAAUGAUGCAUUUCUGAAAAUGUAUACACAUUAGCAAGUGAUGCAUGACUGAUUUCUUUCCUAGCAUAUUUACAAGUGCAUCUCUGGGAUAUGCAGAGAAUCUAAAGAUCAGCUCCUAUUGUUACAAGAUAAAAGGUGGACAGGCAUCACAUUCAUGACUUUGUGUGAACCCAUUAGAGAAUUGAGAUUAGAGAACAGGUCACAGGACACACAGUCAUCUUGAAGAGAAACAGGUGCUUGCAGGGAAAUUCCUCACCUGCUGAUUUGCUUAUCUGGGGGAGAAGAAGCCACUGGGUAUGAUAUACACUGAUAGAAACAUGAAACAAGACAUUUUGUUUCCUAUUGGCCUAGUAUGAGAGUGUGAGGCUCCUAGAGGCUGCGGUCAUGUGGGGAGGAGAUUCCCUCCUCCCUUUUCAGGUUUUCCUCCAGCAACCCCAACCAGGGUCUCACAGGAAGUGUUACAGGUGGAGGGUCUUGACUAAGAGUCCUCUCGGUUCUUGGCAUUUUAAACAAAUAAUUGGAUAAAAUGCACAAACGAAGAAGCAACAAAAGCACAGAUUUGUUGAAAAGAAAGUACACUCCAUAGAGUGAGAGUGGGUUCAAGCAAGAGACUCAAGAGCUCUGGUCACAGAAUUUUCUGGAUUUAAAUACCCUCUACAGGUUUCCCAUUGGUUACUUGGUUUUCACCAUAUGUAAAUGAAGGAGGGGCCAUCAUCAGCCUGAUUGGUUGCAGCAGGCAAUAAAUCAGAGGCUGAAGUGGAGUUAUAAAGUUACACCCCUAUGCAAAUGAAGACCAGGCCCACGACCAGUCUGAUUCGCUGUGGGAGAGGACCAAUCAGAAGUACUUUUCAUUUCUCAUCUGUGAUGAAGAAAGUGGGGUUUGCAAAGGGAGGAGCAUCUGUUCUUUUGUUACCUGGACUUGGAGAGUUGAAGUUUUCCCUUUGAUUAGUUCUACGAAGUCAGUGUGAAUCAGCCUUAGGUUCCCUGCCUCUAGACCCUAUCUUCUUGGCUCAGAAGGAUGGAGAUAAUCCAGAGACACUGGCUGGGAAAGGGGAGUGGUAGCCAUGCUGGAAGCUCCACAGAGACCCAUCUUCUUCCUUACAGAAAAAAGGGCUUAAUCUGCAGGAGGGAGCAUAUUGCCAGAGGCCACUCCGUGUAGCCCAAACAUCUCUUUGUCACAUAAGAGAGAAAGGAAACUCAAUACAAAACCUUGUACUCUGCAGAGGGGAGAGUCUUGGGGAAGAUUGAAAAAUGCAGUCCUGGAAUUAUGCACUGCUUCAUGGAAAAGGAAUAAGAGUAGAGGGAUUAAAAACUCUACUCUUAGGUGAGGGACAGAAACACCUGUGAAGGCUACAUCCCAAGACACAGGCCCAUUGUACACUUCCAAAAAUGGAGACUGAAUCAGAAAACUUCAAAAUGCUCUGUAUCCUCCAUAUCCUACCAGCAUGCUAACAAGCCUCCAGUAAGAUUCAUAGCAAGUAAAUAACAGCAAAAUACAGAUGCUAGGGCUCAAGAGGCAGAACACCAAAGGCAAAGAGAAAAUCUUGAAAUCAGCUACAGCGAGAAAGAAACACCUCGCCCACAGAGAAACAAGGACAAAAAUAUGGCAGGUUUCUUGUCAGAAACGACGCACGCAAGAAGACAGUGGAGUAAAUGCCUUUAAAGAGGGGAAAGAGGCCAAGUGCGGUGGCUCACGCCUGUAAUCCCAGCACUUUGGGAGGCUGAGGUGGAUGGAUCACCUGAGGUCAGGCGUGUGAGACCAGCCUGGUUGACAUGAUGAAACCCCAUCUCUACUAAAAAUAUAAAAAAAUUUAGCUGGGCAUGGUGGUGCGUGCCUGUAAUCCCAGCUACUCAGGAGGCUGAGGUGAGAGAAUCGCUUAAACCUGAAAGACAAAGGUUGCUGGGAGCCAGGAUCGUGUCACUGCACUCUAGCCUGGAUGACAGCAAAAGACUCUGUCUCAAAAAAAAAUAAAAUAAAAAAAAAAUAAAGAAAAAGAAAAGAAAUUUUGCAACUAUGCAAGAAAGAAAGAAGACAGUGGAGUAAAUGCCUUUAAAGAGGUGACAGAAAAUAGCGUGUCAACGGAGGGUUCUGUAUCUGCUCAAACUGCUGUGAAAGUGAAGGGGGAGAAGACUUCCUCAUUCAUUGCCAGCAGAAUACAAUACGAGAUAUGUUAAAAGAGUUUUUUUCAGGCAGAAGGAAUAUUAUUAAGGUAAGAAACUUAGAUACACAAAGAAAUGAAGAACAUUGGAAUUGAGAUAAAUAAAAGUAAAAUAUAACUAAGAAAACUUUUCAGUGCUACAAAAAAGUCACUGACUGUAAAAGGUAAUAAUAGUGGUGACGUAUUGUGGCUUGUAUAAAUGAGAAUUAUAUGACCACAGUAAAACAAGAUACGGGAAGAAGGAACUGGUAGUCUGGUAUUUUGUUGUAAGUUCCUUUCACUAUGCAUGAAGUGAUAUGACAUCAUGAUGAAAUGUUAUAAUCAGAGAUGGACUUAGAUUAUUUAGAAAUGUAUACUGUAAACCAUAGGGAAACCACUAGAAAGGUUAA